GAACGCACCUUGCACCCUUUGGUAUUCCGAAGGGUACACCCGUUUGAGUGUCAUUGUAAUCUCACACCCUCAGACUUUUGUCGAAAGGGAGGUGGACUUGGAUGCUGUCGUGUCACUACGACUCGUCUCAAAUGCAUGAGUGUACCCUGCGUCCGCAGCGUAUUCGGUGUGAUAAGCAUCUUCACCGGAGUAGUGCCUUUGGGCUCGCGCUUGCAAAUGUUGGGCUCUGCGCUUCAAACCGUCCUUGGACAGCAACUGACAAUUUGACCUCAAAUCGGGUGGGACUACCCGCUGAACUUAAG
rnacentral:misc_RNA from 1 species